ACAGAGGGUGCAAACGUUGCUCGGAAUUACUGGGCGUAAAGCGCGUGUAGGCGGGCUUGCAAGUCAGAUGUGAAAUCCCCGGGCUCAACCCGGGAACUGCAUUUGAAACUGCAAGCCUUGAGUAUCGGAGAGGAAAGCGGAAUUCCUGGUGUAGAGGUGAAAUUCGUAGAUAUCAGGAGGAACACCGGUGGCGAAGGCGGCUUUCUGGACGAUAACUGACGCUGAGACGCAAAAGCGUGGGGAGCAAACAGGG
rnacentral:rRNA from 1 species